UUAAACGGCCGCGGUAUUCUGACCGUGCAAAGGUAGCGCAAUCACUUGUCUUUUAAAUGAAGACCUGUAUGAAUGGUGAAACGAGGGCUUAACUGUCUCCCCCCUCCAGUCAAUGAAAUUGAUCUACCCGUGCAGAAGCGGGUAUAACUAUACAAGACGAGAAGACCCUUUGGAGCUUAAGACAAAAGACCAACUAUGUCAAAAGCCACAAAAAAUGGUACUAAACCAAAUAGUGCUGGUUACAGUCUUCGGUUGGGGUGACCGCGGGAGAAAACGAAGCUCCCAUGCGGACAGGGGAAACCCCCUAAAACUAAGAAAGACAUUUCUAAGGCACAGAACAUCUGACCAUAAAGAUCCGGCUUAAUGCCGAUCAACGGACCAAGUUACCCUAGGGAUAACAGCGCAAUCCCCUUCCAGAGUCCAUAUCGACAAGGGGGUUUACGACCUCGAUGUUGGAUCAGGACAUCCUAAUGGUGCAGCCGCUAUUAAGGGUUCGUUUG
rnacentral:rRNA from 2 species